GAUGAACGCUGGCGGCGUGCCUAAUACAUGCAAGUCGAGCGAACAGACGAGGAGCUUGCUCCUUUGACGUUAGCGGCGGACGGGUGAGUAACACGUGGGUAACCUACCUAUAAGACUGGGAUAACUUCGGGAAACCGGAGCUAAUACCGGAUAAUAUUUCGAACCGCAUGGUUCGAUAGUGAAAGAUGGCUUUGCUAUCACUUAUAGAUGGACCUGCGCCGUAUUAGCUAGUUGGUACGGUAACGGCUUACCAAGGCAACGAUACGUAGCCGACCUGAGAGGGUGAUCGGCCACACUGGAACUGAGACACGGUCCAGACUCCUACGGGAGGCAGCAGUAGGGAAUCUUCCGCAAUGGGCGAAAGCCUGACGGAGCAACGCCGCGUGAGUGAUGAAGGUCUUCGGAUCGUAAAACUCUGUUAUUAGGGAAGAACAAACGUGUAAGUAACUGUGCACGUCUUGACGGUACCUAAUCAGAAAGCCACGGCUAACUACGUG
rnacentral:rRNA from 1 species